GAGUUUGAUCCUGGCUCAGAACGAACGCUGGCGGCGUGCCUAACACAUGCAAGUCGAGCGAGAAAGUUUCCUUCGGGAAGCGAGUAAAGCGGCGCACGGGUGAGUAAUACGUAGGCAACCUGCCCUCGAGACUGGGACAACUUGUCGAAAGACGGGCUAAUACCAGAUAAGACCACGAGAGCUGAGGCUCUGGGGUAAAAUGAUGGCCUCUGCUUGCAAGCUAUCGCUCCGGGAUGGGCCUGCGCGCCAUUAGCUUGUUGGUGAGGUAACGGCUCACCAAGGCUUAGAUGGCUAGCUGGUCUGAGAGGAUGACCAGCCACACUGGGACUGAGACACGGCCCAGACUCCUACGGGAGGCAGCAGUGGGGAAUAUUGCGCAAUGGGCGAAAGCCUGACGCAGCGACGCCGCGUGGGUGAUGAAGGCCUUCGGGUCGUAAAGCCCUGUCGGGAGGGACGAAAUCUCGUCGACCUAAUACGUCGGCGACUUGACGGUACCUUCAAAGGAAGCACCGGCUAACUCCGUGCCAGCAGCCGCGGUAAUACGGAGGGUGCAAGCGUUGUUCGGAAUUACUGGGCGUAAAGCGCGUGUAGGCGGCCUUUUUAGUCUGGUGUGAAAGCCCGGGGCUCACCCCCGGAAGUGCAUUGGAUAUGGCGGACUAGAGUACGGGAGAGGGAGGUGGAAUUCCUGGUGUAGCGGUGAAAUGCGUAGAUAUCAGGAGGAACACCGGUGGCGAAGGCGGCCUCCUGGACCGAUACUGACGCUGAGACGCGAAAGCGUGGGGAGCAAACAGGAUUAGAUACCCUGGUAGUCCACGCGGUAAACGAUGGGCACUAGGUGUUCGGGGUAUCCACUCCCCGAGUGCCGCAGCUAACGCAUUAAGUGCCCCGCCUGGGGAGUACGGCCGCAAGGUUAAAACUCAAAGGAAUUGACGGGGGCCCGCACAAGCGGUGGAGCAUGUGGUUUAAUUUCGAUGCAACCCGAAGAACCUUACCUGGGCUUGACAUUAUGGGAAACAGCCGUCAGAGAUGACGGUGUGCGCUAAGCGGACUCCUGGACACAGGUGCUGCAUGGCUGUUGUCAGCUCGUGUCGUGAGAUGUUGGGUUAAGUCCCGCAACGAGCGCAACCCUCGCCUCUAUGUUGCCAGCGGAUAAUGCCGUUGAGGACUCAUAGAGGAGACCGCCCGAGGUACAACUCGGAGGAAGGCGGGGAUCGAUGUCAAGUCAUCAUGCCCCUUAUAUCCAGGGCUGCACGCAUGCUACAAUGGGCGGUACAGUGGGCCGCGAUCUCGCAAGAGUGAGCCAAUCCCUCAAAGCCGUCCCCAGUUCGGAUUGAAGUCUGCAACUCGACUUCAUGAAGCCGGAGUCGCUAGUAAUCGUGGAUCAGCUAUGCCACGGUGAAUACGUUCUCGGGGCUUGUACACACCGCCCGUCACAUCACGGAAGUCGGUAACACCCGAAGUCAGUGGCCUAACCCCUCGGGGAAGGAGCUGCCUAAGGUGGGAUUGGUAACUGGGAUGAAGUCGUAACAAGGUAGCCGUACGGGAACGUGCGGCUGGA
rnacentral:rRNA from 1 species